rnacentral:rRNA from 1 species
UACGGAGUGUGCAAGCGUUACUCGGAAUCACUGGGCAUAAAGCGCGCGUAGGCGGGCUUUCAAGUCGGUUGUGAAAUCCCUCAGCUCAACUGAGGAACUGCAUCCGAUACUGUUUGUCUUGAGGACGAGAGGGGAGAGUGGAACUUCUGGUGGAGCGGUGAAAUGCGUAGAUAUCAGGAGGAACACCAGUGGCGAAGGCGCCGCUCUGGGCCGUGACUGACGCUGAGGAGCGAAAGCGUGGGUAGCAAACAGG